rfam:Triticum urartu cultivar G1812 contig952454, whole genome shotgun sequence.
GUCAGGAAGAGGAAGAAAAUGAGCAUCUAGGAGCAUUGGGCAUGGGAACAUGGAGGAAGGGCUAAACUAAUGUGUCCCACUACAACUAGGGUCCUACAUUUGUUUCUGAAUUUUCCCGAUGCCUCCCAUGCCUAUUGUUCUUAGGUGCUCCUUCCUCUUCCUUAUGAUC